CCUACGGGUGGCAGCAGUGAGGAAUAUUGGUCAAUGGGCGAGAGCCUGAACCAGCCAAGUCGCGUGAAGGAUGAAGGAUCUAUGGUUUGUAAACUCUUUUUAUAUGGGAAUACAGUGAGGAACGUGUUCCUUUUUGUAUUUACCAUAUCAAUAAGCAUCGGCUAACUCCGUGCCAGCAGCCGCGGUAAUACGGAGGAUGCGAGCGUUAUCCGGAUUUAUUGGGUUUAAAGGGUGCGUAGGUGGUUAAUUAAGUCAGCGGUGAAAGGUUGUGGCUCAACCAUAGAAUUGCCGUUGAAACUGGUUGACUUGAGUAUAUGUGAGGUAGGCGGAAUGCGUGGUGUAGCGGUGAAAUGCAUAGAUAUCACGCAGAACACCGAUGGCGAAGGCAGCUUACUAAACGAUAACUGACACUGAGGCACGAAAGCGUGGGGAUCAAACAGGAUUAGAUACCCGAGUAGUC
rnacentral:rRNA from 1 species